CCCUUAGAUGUCCGGGGCCGCACGCGCGCUACACUGAAGGAAUCAGCGUGGCUUUCUCCCUGACCCGAAAGGGUUGGGAAACCCGUUGAAUCUCCUUCGUGAUAGGGAUUGGGGCUUGAAAUUGUUCCCCAUGAACGAGGAAUUCCCAGUAAGCGCGAGUCAUAAGCUCGCGUUGAUUACGUCCCUGCCCUUUGUACACACCUCCCGUCGCUACUACCGAUUGAACGGUUUAGUGAGGGCCUCGGAUUGGUCUCGGCCCGCUCUUUACCGGGCGGCGCCGUUGGUCGAGAAGACGCUCGAACUUGAUCGUUUAGAGGAAGUAAAAGUCGUAACA
rnacentral:rRNA from 1 species